AUUGAACGCUGGCGGCAGGCCUAACACAUGCAAGUCGAGCGCGCGGCGGACGGGUGAGUAAUGUAUGGGGACUGCCCGAUAGAGGGGGAUAACAAAUGGACACGGUAGCUAUUACCGCAUACUAUCGGAUAACCCAUAUGGGAUUAGCUAGUAGGUGAGGUAAUGGCUCACUUAGUCGACGCUCCCGAGCUGGUCUGAGAGGAGGAUCAGCCACACGUGGACUGAGACACGGCCCAGACUCCUACGGAGGCAGCAGUGGGGAAUAUUGCACAAUGGGCGCAAGCCUGAUGCAGCCAUGCCGCGUGUAUGAAGAAGGCCCUAGGGUUGUAAAGUACUUUCAGUCGUGAGGCGUUACCUACAGAAGAAGCACCGGCUAACUCCGUGCCAGCAGCCGCGGUAAUAC
rnacentral:rRNA from 1 species